rfam:Cellulophaga phage phi38:1, complete genome.
GCACUAAUGACUGAAUAGGAAAUGGUACUUCAUUUGUAACGAAGAUAAUUCGGGUUCGACUCCUGAUUAGUGCU